rnacentral:rRNA from 1 species
AUUGAACGCUGGCGGCAGGCCUAACACAUGCAAGUAGAGCGAGCGGCGGGCGGGUGUGUAAUGUAUAGGGACUGCCCGAUAGAGGGGGAUAACUACUGGAAACGAUGGCUAAUACCGCAUACUGGAGGAUACACCAUAUGUGAUUAGCUAGUAGGUAAGGUAAUGGCUUACCUAGGCGACGAUCCCUAGCUGGUCUGAGAGGAUGAUCAGCCACACUGGGACGUAGACACGGCCCAGACUCUUACGGAGGAAGCAGUGGGGAAUAGGGCAAAAUGGGCGCAAGCCUGAUGCAGCCAUGCCGCGUGGAGGAAGAAGGCCCUCGGGUUGUAAAGUACUUUCAGUCGGGAGGCGUUACCGACAUAAGAAGCACCUGCUAACUCCGUGCCAGCAGCCGCGGUAAUAC